rnacentral:rRNA from 1 species
GAUGAACGCUGGCGGCGUGCCUAAUACAUGCAAGUCGAGCGAACAGACGAGGAGCUUGCUCCUCUGACGUUAGCGGCGGACGGGUGAGUAACACGUGGAUAACCUACCUAUAAUACUGGGAUAACUUCGGGAAACCGGAGCUAAUACCGGAUAAUAUAUUGAACCGCAUGGUUCAAUAGUGAAAGACGGUUUUGCUGUCACUUAUAGAUGGAUCCGCGCCGCAUUAGCUAGUUGGUAAGGUAACGGCUUACCAAGGCAACGAUGCGUAGCCGACCUGAGAGGGUGAUCGGCGACACUGGAACUGAGACACGGUCCAGACUCCUACGGGAGGCAGCAGUAGGGAAUCUUCCGAAAUGGGCGAAAGACUGACGGAGCAACGCAGCGUGAGUGAUGAAGGUCUUCGGAUCGUAAAACUCUGUUAUUAGGGAAGAACAAAUGUGUAAGUAACUAUGCACGUCUUGACGGUACCUAAUCAGAAAGCCACGGCUAACUACGU